ACUCGGUCUCUCUGGCUAUUUUGUGUGUUCCGAUCUGACAGCCCACAUGCCUCUGCUGUACGCCUCGGCCACAGGACACAGAGCACUAAGAAGACAGAGAACAUUCACAGUCUGGUGAGACAAGUUUGAGAUCUCAUAUUUUCAGCUCAUCCUUGAAAACCUUUCUUCGAUUUGACUGACCUUGAUGGCUCCCUGGAAUCUCACCUACAUUUUAUGGGAAAUUCAACUCUCCAGAGAGAAGAGCUUUCAGAUAGCUACGGGACUUGCAACUAUGACUUUCAGCUUUCGCUUUUGAAUGAGGCUCCAAAUGUCUCAAUGGUGGCACUAUUUCCAGAUUUGGGAGCCCUGCAAAGCUAAUCUGCUCAACCUUCACCUACUGGGUUCAAUGAAUAUGAAAAGCUGCCUUCCUGAAACUUUUCCUUCAAAGAGGGAAUGAUCUCCUGGAAUUCAAGCUUCUACAGGGUGGCUACCUGGUGUUUUCCACUUUUGCCGUCUCCUAAAAAGCAUCAAUCAAGCCUUGCCCUUUCAACCCACUGAACACAUAAACAUGCUUUCUCCUUAACUGAACUUAUGGCCACGAUGAACUUGAACUCUGAGAUUCACAGAGGAGAGUUUGUUUUAACAGCUGCUUUUACAAUGAAGCCCUGGAGUUACUACUCUCAAGACCCCUGGUUCUGAUAGGCCAUCUUUUCACUGUCCUCUGCAUUUUCUAAUGCCCAGCUGUCAAGGAACACCCACUGAAGUUUUCCAAAACAAAGGCACGAAACACAAGAAAGGCAAGAGAAUGCUAAUCACCAGAGGCAUGGGCAUCCUAUGGGGGAACCCCUUACAUGUGGAAUACGGUUUUUCUCCCCAAUUUAUUUUUAUAAAUUUAUUGAUUUCUUUGCCAGUUUGUUAUUAAUUGUUAGAGAUGUCCUGUUGCCUGAGGUUGCCCUGUCCGAUAUGGUAGCCACCAGCGACAGGUAGCUAUUUAGAGUAAUUAAAAAAUUACAUUAAAAAUGCAGUUUCCUUGUCACUUAACCAUGUUUCAAGUGCUCAGUAUUAACCACAUGUGACUAGUGGCUUCCAUAAAGGAAGGCAAAAAUAGAGAACAUUUACAUCGCUGCAGAAAGCUACCAGAUUCUUUUGGCCAAGGCAUAAGCUCUUUCUCAUAAGAGAAAGGGGAUGCAGAUCUUGCUAAGAGUGAUGGAUUUCUGGGUUCAGCCUACAUGAGUCAUCUUCCAUACUACCCCUGGACAUGCUUUCCUUGGCUGCCAAUUUUCUAUUUUAUAAAUUUCAGGAAAGAGAGAUUAUGGUUGUUAAAACCAUUCAUGACACUGAUCCCACUUUAGAGAAAACAACAGCAACAAGCAAAGAAGAUGGUGUGGAGAUCCGCACAUUCCACAUCUUUUAAUUGGUACCCAUUAAAUAACAAAGGGAAAAAGUACCCUCAGACCACAACUCUCCACCUUGUGUGGAGGCCAAGGACCCAGCAGGGAGAAGGCAGAAGAUUAGGUUCUCCACUCAUCCUGGCUCUCAGACCACUGAGCUCACAUUUGGGUUCUAAUGGAAUGGUGAUUGGAAGCAUAUUCUCCAAUAGGAGGUUUUUAAAAGUUCUGUGCCAUCAGCCAGGCAGCAUCUGUCAUUUAAAAUGACUGGCCAGUUGCACAUUUAAAAGCAAAGAUAAAAUUGCUAAUUUAUACUUACUGAAUAAACAUCAGCAGUAUCCAUGAAGGUACCUACCCUAAUAGCAAGUUGUAUUUUUAUUUUUAUGGUGGUGGCGAAGCUGCCAGGAAAACCAAAGCAUCAGUUCUUUAAUUACAUUUGUUUAGUAUUGAUUUAAUACUAAAAUUUCUCUUGCUCCCUUAGAACAAAGAGCUCUAACUUGUACACUGCUGUAUCCUUAGCACCUGGAACAGUCCCUGGCCUACAGUAGGCACUUAGAAAGUAUUUGUUAAAAAUUGAUUUUUUUUUUUAAAGAAACAACCCAGAGUUUUUUUAUUCUGCCCCAACCCCCAACCCCUGGCAUUAAAAUAAAUCUUCCUCAACUGCCAUCACUAAUCGCCAGGAUUCCCUCCUAGCCAAUUAUGCUUGGACUCAACCUCUACCUCCCACUCCACAUUCCAAAGUUUCUAUUUCUUUCCAUUCCAGAAGGGCAACUCCACAACAGGAGUGAGGGAGAGGACCUGGACUCCUCCUCAGAGUCCAAUAACACUCCUAACCCUGCUCCCCCAACCUGUGGACUUUUUAAAUCCAUGAAAAUAGAAACUGUCAAGCUACCACAAAAUAGCAUCAGAAGGCAGGAUCAGUCUUUCAUAGGCAUACAAUCUCUGUAAAUACUGAAAAAAGAUUAUUAAAAGCCUGCUAAGUUUUGUCUCCAGUGAAAUAGAUGCAGGCAAGUAUUUUGAUUGUUCUGAACACAUUAGAGAUGAGUGCUACACAGAACUAAGGUAAACUUUGUAAAUUCAUAUGUCAUAACACUUUGUUCCACAAAAAACUAUCUUAUUUUUUAUACUCCAUACUGAUACAGCCAAAUAAUGUGGCUCUUAUUUUCUAAAGAUGCCAGCAAUAUGUUUAAACAUGUCUUCAUUGUAGUAAAAGUAUCAUAUUUAUAAAAAAUACAUAUGCAUUUAAUGUGAUAUUCCUUAUAGUCAAAAUCUUGAUAUCAUCCUCCUAAUCUGGCUAGGAAUGUAUCUGCAAAAUGAAAGAGAGGAAUAUUUUGCCAUUCCCUAAACAACAGUUGUUUGAAGCUUUUGUAAUUGCUGGUUAUGGGAAUUUACCAAUAACAGGAAUGAAUUUGGAUUUUCUUUUGCUGGAAUCAAAUGGACAAUGUCAUAAUUAGCUAAAUAAUGUUGAGGCUAAAUGAAGUUUGAGUUUUAGGCACAUCCUUUAUGGAAUAUAAACAGGAACCUAAAAGUUCAUUCUGAACAUAGGUUGUUUCUUUCUGCCAAAACAAGAUUAAUAGUCAGUACCCUAACGACGAGGUCCUAUCACUGAAGUAGAUUAUCGGCUAGUCAAAUGGGUUCCUAACAGCACCUCCCUCAUGGGUUAAAAGAAGAGGGUUAAUGUGAUGUGUAUUUGCUUAAUUUGGCUUGUUAUACAGUAAACACACAGCAAACGUUAGCUAUUGUUAUCUUCAUUUCCUUUGGAGAAGUUAUCUUAUUUCUCACCUUAUUAAAAAUAAACCCUAACUCAUACAGGGACCCUCCUUACCUUGGUCCUUUCACCCAUGAAUACCAUAAUAACCUAUACUGCAAAAAGGAGGCUCAGGAGGAGGAUGAGGUAUCAAUAGGCCUCCGGGUCAUUUUUAGGAUUUAGGUAUUUUUUGAAAAGGGUAGGCUCUCUUGAAACUUCCAAGGUAGUUGUUGUAGUAUUUUAUUUUCCUUUAAUAAGAAAUGCUUUCUGAAAUGUAUUGCAGUGAACAAAUAACAAAAUUGACAAAUGCUGUAAGCCUUUUGCAGUUAUCUGAACACAAAGAAUAAAGUGUAAUCAAAUUUAUGCACAUUAGGUUUGCUUUUUCCUGUACCUAGCUGUCUCUUAUGUGUUCAGAACCAUUUCUUCCAAUCACCUUUUUUUGUCUUCUGGCUAUAAUUUAUCAUUAUCUACAAAUUCAAUAAAUGGAGCAUGCA
rnacentral:antisense_RNA from 1 species